UCCUGUGCAUGUGUGUUUUUUUUUCUUUUCUUUUUCUUAUGUGUCAUAAUUUUUAUUCUUUUCACUAACAUGUGGAAGCUGAAAAUCCUGUGGAAAUGGUUCUUGUGAUGACUAUAAAGCCUGGAUUUGGAAGAAAAAAAUUUAUGCCCGAGAUGAUGGAUAAAGUACAUAUACUUAGGAAAAAGUAUCCAUCACUUGACGUAGAGGUGAAAUUCUACCUCCAAAACCCCUUAGCCAAUUUCUUUGGGGGAUUGAAUGGAUAUUAAAUCCAUGGAGAUCCCAAGUGCUUUGGAAAAGUAUACCAUAAAAAGAGUAAAAACACCAAAGGAGAGGACUAACCUAGUUUGUUCCUUGUGAAGUGUAGCCGAAUUGGAGGAGUUGAAGACUUAACCUUAUUUUUGCUUAUUUCUUGUUCAAUUUCUUUUAGGCCACUUGUAUUUGGGCCUUGUUUCUUUUAUUUUAGGUUGUAAUUUGGCCUCUUGAAACCUCAUAGUCUUAGGGUUACGUUUAUCAAAUUGAGAAUCUACCAAACGAUUAUAACCUUUUUUCGUGUUAUGUUUCCUUUUUUUCAA